AAAUUUCAAGACAUACGGAAAGUAGGUUAAAAAAGUAAUAUACUAAAUGCAAGGCUUUCGUUCUCUACCAUAUUGCUGAAGAAAGGGAGUAAAAUGGUAACAGCACUUUAUUUGUAGCCAGUGCUAAGGCAAUGCUGCUGGGCACCUCACUGACAGGAACACUGUGCUCAACAGAAAAGACCCUCAUCAUUGGUGGGAAGCUGAUCUUCAUCAUUUCCCUACAGUCCUGUUUACUGGGCUCAGCAGAAGCAGAAGGCACAGGACUGAAUGCAGUCUGUAGUAUGUUGCCACCAAUACUUGAAUAUUGCUAUAGCCACCUCAAUAACUCUCUGAAGCUAUUCAAAUGUCUCUCUGAACGACAGGCUUUUGCACAAGGCAGGACGGAGCACUGCUGGGAUGUGACUUGUUCAGGUGACAGAGGCUCUAAGAUGCCAAGUGUUCCCACAGAACUGUGAAUAUCCUGGGAGUUGCUGCCUACACUUUUUGGUUUUUGCUGUCUUUUCUACUAACUACUCAGGAACUCAACAAUUCAUUACGUGGCUUUCUAACAAGUUACUGGCUCAAAAAAAUGUCCAAAGAAGAAUCAACAGGACAGGCUUUAAGUCCUCUAAGACUCUACGAGCACAUCAGUUUUAACAAAACUCCUGGAAGAGUCCUGAAAGAGGUAAGAAACUGAAAAUAUUUUGUUUCUUGCUGACUUGGCAGUCUGCUUUGCCUGACUUAAAGAAGCAGUUAAAAAUAUACUGUAAUAACAAUUAUGGCAACUGAGGCAAUAGCAGUCAUGUUGAAGAGAGAAGCAACACGUUCAUAUAAUUAUGCAAAGGUCUAAAUUAUUUUUCCAGUAGAUUGCAAAUGCUUCUGAUUUAAUCCCAGAUGUUUCUUGCAUUCAUCACCAACUUUUGCCUGAAGAGCAAACAAAUAAUGAGAAAUUUCAAAAGCCAACAGUAACACCAACUACUCUAGAAAAAAUAUUUGGUUUACCUGAAAUAUCCUCAAACGACAAGAAGAUACAGAACAUUUCUAAGAUGUUUAGUGCAGGAUGUGCUGAUCCAAAUUCCAGCCUGUAUUCAGGAGCAUUUUCUGCAUCCUAAAAAAGUUAAAGACUGGAUGUGAAGCUUCUGAUAAAAUACUGUUAUACUCCAACGUACUGUGUAAAUUCUCCAGUGCCUUAAUAUUUUUCUCAUAAACUUGUAUACUUUCUACAGAGACUGCUAAAUUUACUUUCCCAUCCUCCUGCAGCUACAUUGAAUGCCUUACCUACUUUUUUUUUUUCCCAGCUCUGUUAAACAGCUGCAACUCAUACACUAUUGUAAUUGUUAAGCUGUGUUUUUUAGCUGAAGAGAUGGGUUUGGGGCUCUGGAAUGUAAAAACUCAAGCAGGGCAUCUGUAUCACACAUAAUUGCAAGCCUUCCCCAUAAAUAACUGUAGCAGGAGAGCACCUGUGCUUUUUCCUCCCAGCAUUCUGAUGGUUAGCAUUGUUGGCAUCUCUGCAAUUGACACUACACUAAAUUCAAAAAAGAGGCUGAGUCAGUCCUAAGUAAUGGAAUGUGUCCAAAUUCCCCUUGGCUUUGAUUCUAACAGAGAAAGACAUAAUUUUCUUGUAUCCUUCCAGAUUAAACUCCGUUCCAUUUUCUGCUGCCCUCACAGAUCACUCCUGAAAAUCCCACAGAUGCAUUAGCAUUCAGUCAAUGAGAUAUUUCUAGCAGCUGGACUACUAUGAUGUUUAGGUUUUUCUGUAGUUUCAAGGCCUUGAUUUCACCCUGCCCUUGCAAUGGAAAGCUUGUCUUUAAUCUCAGCAGCCCAUAAUGUCUUGUACCCUCGCUAGCUGUAGCAUCCUAUAUUUAAUGCUGUCACUUUGAUCUGAUGUUGUUUCCUGAAGGAGGUUUCUUUCAAACAAAACAAAUAAAUAGAAUCACCAUCCCAGUCCUAAGGAAUCUGGAUUUUCAUGAUUGGUCAUGGAAAUUCAUGAGGAGUCUUUCCUUUUUCAAGAGCAGGUCAUUUGGAAAUUACUCGGAAUGCAGUUGAAAAAUCACAGUGUUGGUGUGUCCUUUCUUUCUCUUUGGGCAUGAUAAAGAAAGCAGCCCCAGCAGGCACUGGGGGAAGCAGAUGAAAGGAGGGAGGGUGUAUCGAGGGAAGCUUGAGAAUAGGGUUCACACCACGAGCGUAAGCUAUAUCUGCUGAAGAGCCCAGAUAUGAACCACCUAACAUGGCUGACCUUUUAAAUCCUCCUUUUGAGGAUUCAUGUUUUCAUGCUACAGAAAGUACAAACUAUUCUCCCGAUGCUUGAGACCUUUGCUUCAGCUGCCUGCGGACUUGGGAAGAUUUGCUGCACAAGGUUGCAGCAGGCCAAGGUUUUCUUUGCAACUUCAAAAGGCAGGAGGGUACUUCAGGCUGGAAAUGGACAGCAACAACAGCGCAAGCUUUGGACUGUGCAGAGGGGUGCUACUGUCGUGGUGCAGCUCUUUCAGACAUUGCAACAUUCUUGUCCUAACUUUGUGUUUGCCAUUCUGCACAUGCUAACAUAUGCCUUUGCCUGAGCCCAGGACAGGCGUACCAGACAAGAAAUUAUCCCAACAUUCAAGUGUCUUCUACUCUUGGUGCUUGGCUUCAGAUUACUGCACUUUUAAGGGUCCCAAAGCUGAUUUAGUAGUAGCAGCUUGCACACAAGCUGUAUUUGGGAAUCGUAUGGGAGAUUGCUGAUGAACAGAGGCCAGAACAGUACCAAGAAUCAUUUGGAUAUCUUAAUAGCACAGAUGACUGAACUUCAGUGGCCAGCAAGGUUCUCUGGGACUCUUCAACUUAGUACACCGGCAGAGAAACUCUCCAGGAAAUGGGUAAGGUGUGCCCCAUCCACAAGAAAAGCUUGGCUCAAGGUUGGUUCCAUAUUAGACAAUGGAGAACCCAAGUAUGAAGUGCAAAUCCCCAGGAAAUAGGCCUCAUUAAAGCUGUUGCUGACAGAAUGACUUGUUUAGCUGAUGGCACCUUAUUUAGAAUUCACUCCCACUAGCAGCCCACUUCAGAUAUAAUAUAGCAGCUCUCAGCCCUGGAUGCCAGAUGCAUGAGCCACAUUUAGCUGUUCAUAUUUUGUUCCCUGGUUCAUUUGUAUUAGUUGCUACUGCGAUUGGUGUUUCAGACACUGCAAUUAUGUGAACCUUUAUUGCUUAACAUGUGAAUCAGAUGAUUUAUCGUAUUUGCUAUUUGUGGCCAUGACUGAGAAUUCAGACCAUGACCUCCAGAGCUAAAGCACAAAGAUGUUAAAAUCUUAGACUAUGAAAUCUGUUAACCAGCAGCUGCAAAGUCUCAUCUUCCACAGCACAAAGGAAGACAGAGGACAAAUACUGAGUAUGUGGACACUGGAUAUCUGGAUACUAGCCUGCUGCAAGAAUAAACAGCUGAAAAUUGUUUCAAUGCUGAGCAGAAGAUUAAGAGUUAGAGGAGAUGGAAACUUGAAUGCCCAGGAGGACUCUGAAAAUUGCAAGCAGUAGGCAACUUCUCUUGGAUACCAAAGGACAGAGUCUAACAUUCCUCCUGCAAUAUUAUUAACAUCUCAUGUUUGUAUUUCAGAGGCACCUAGUGACCCAGAUCCCAGACUGAGCCAUUCAGCUGCAAAAUGAAUACAUACACACACUGUGAGUCUAUUACACGCACACACUCUUUCCAAGAAAAGAAAGACUCCUAUUAAAAAAAAAACCAAACCUUUUAGCAAGCUUUUUUGAUUCGCCAUAAAUACAAACAGCAGCAAUAACGAAGCUCAGUUGCCUACACAUCUUUGUACCCCAUACUGAGCAGGUCUCCUUGCUUCCCACUUUGUCGGUGCUUUUCCCUUCUGCAGCAGAACUCCCCUCUUGAAGCUCCCUGUUCCCAGGGGAGGGAAGUGUGGUGGCUGGCCACAGCCAACAGCACGGACUGUGAGACCAUGGCUGCCACUGCCCAGAAUGGCCGCAGGGAUGCCCAUUCCCCACAAGAGCAGGGUGUUAGGACUUUGUCCACUGCCAAACUGUAGAAGUGCAUGAACUUUAGGGUGAGCAUACCUUCAUGAUCUCUCUCUAUCCCAGGCUGAAAUGAGCCAACAGGUUCAAAGUUAUUAAAGAGAAGCUGACAGACAAGCAGAUGGACAGCCAGGCAGAACAGUUGUGUAAGCUUUGUUUUCUUAGGAAAGCAGGCUAAAAAAAGAAACAAAAUGCAGUAUUCACUCAUCAUUGUCUACAAAAACACUGAAAUCAGCUAUUUAACACUUUGUAAUGAGUGUAAUGGCUCAGCAGAGUUAUUUAUUCUGCUCGAAAAACCUGUUUCUAGGCCUCAGAGGAUUAGCUGAGAAGCAGAGAGGCAGCAUAACCUCUCUGUGACCCUCUCUGAGAAGAAGCUGGUCUGACUGGAAGUCUGAAAGCAGUGCUCUGAAAGUGGUGGCAGCUACGGGUACGUGAGCUACAGUUCAUCUAAACUGGGGGGAAGUUUUACAAAGAAGGACAAUAAUCCGAGCAUCAAAAAAGAGGAGUAAAAGAAAAAGAGAAGUGAAAAGUAGGGUAGAAGACAAAUGAGAAAAAGAAGAAACUAACAGCACAGCAAUGAAUGCAUUUCAGUGUGCUUGGGAACACAGUAAAUAAUGUAAAUGACAGGUAAAAGGUAUGUUAGGUCAGUAGAUACAAGCUGAGCAAUGAAGAAAGUUUGCAGAAUUGAGAUUUGGUCUUCUACAGUUUUUAAAUCAACACGAAGCAUCACCAUAUCCAAACACAGCGUAUGUGUAGGUAAGAAGAACAAGCAAUGUCACUGGAGCCAGAGCACAGCCCACAAAUCUGUGUUCAUCUACCUGUCAGUGUUUGCUUUGGGAGGUCAUGUUUAUGCAGAUGGUAGUGAGUUUAGCAUGAGUGAGGGCAAAAAACAGAGGAAGGAGCUCUCAGGUGUCCAGGAGAGUCUGGUCCUGACUCAGAGGAGAUGUUUAUGACAUCUGACAGCAUGAGGAUGCAGAAGUGUCAAUUAGCAGAUGCUGAAAGCACCACCAAGUUGCAGUUAGGAAAUAAGAAGUAGGUAUCUUUAUUAUCGAUGCAGUAUAAAAAAGACCUUUUUUAUGAAUAUAAUAUAUAUACUUAUAUAUAUAUAUAUUACUGUGUAUAAAGAAUGUGAUUUCAUUCCUCGGCACUAUGGUGGGGAAUAAAACCAUAGUAUUUCCUGCAGUGGAUAAUGACCUGUAGUCCUGGUAUCAGGCAAGCGCCUUUAAUUACAGAUUAUUGUUCUUUCCCAAAUAAGCUUAUUGUAUUUAUUAAUAACAGAAAUAAUUUUACAGAUUAUAUGAGAUUUUUCUUAGUACAGGAUUGCUCUCUCUACAGGAACGUUUUAUUGUUUUAUUCUGGCUGAUUUUGGGUGCCUCUAGAGUUGAUUUCCUAUCACUUUCAUGCAGGCUGUGUUUCACUGUGAGUGCCUCAUGUGUCUCCAGAACUCUUUGUUCUGAUGUUCAGUUUAAAUACCUCCCACCUUACUCUAGGUCCCUGCUUAGAUACAUACACUAAUACAUAAUACACUGAUACGUACACUAAUUGAUACCUAAUUACCCUGGGCUCUCCUAGCAGCUGAUGGAGAGAAAUGAGCAGCUCCAGAAGAUUAGAAGUUGCAGGUGAAGGUUCCUGUCCCUUAGCACAAAUUUUACAGUAACACUGCUCCAUCAGGUACUUUACUGGGGAUGUGGGGCAGCUGAAUCUGGGUCUGAAAUAUUUUCCUGCUUCGACAGGUCUCCCCUCUCCUUUCAACAGCCAGAGAUUAUUAUCAUGUGGCUGAAUGCUUCGACCUGCAGCCACAUGCAACACAAACACAGAUUAUCCCCAGAAAACUCCAGCAUACUCCAACAUCACUUUUGCUGCAUUUCUCUGGACAUCUAGCACCACUAUGUCCUUAAAUUAUUACAAUCUCUAGGUAUACUAACAACAGCAUCUUUGCAGUUGUCAUCAAACAUUAUUAUUUCUUAUAAAAUCACAUCUAAUUUCCUGUUUACUAAAUGUGUGAACUAAGCAAUUGUACUUUUUUCCUGGGAAUAUUAAGUCCCCGUGUCAUAUCCUGGACCUGUCUGGUUUCCACACUGCCUCAGCUUCAUGUCUGUGAAUAUCAUUUAUAUCCUAUUAACUCCUUUUCCUGUUCACAAGGUAAAAAAUUAUUGCAUCCAGAGCCGAUGGAGAGCUGCUAAAAGCCAUCUCACCAAGGAUUCCCCUUUGAGAUCCUCAGUAGCUGCUAAGAAGACACCUGCCAAUUCAAAAGGGAGCACUCUGCGUGUUUCUGAAUGAGAUUUAACGUGCAGACUGUCCAUGUUUGUCUCGUUCCUUACAGAAGGUUUGAAAGAGACAACUGAGUCACUGGGAGACACCAGGCAGGGAGCACUAGCUGCAGGAAGCAAUGCCCUCAGUCAGGGCAAUGCAGUAUUUUGUUCCACAGGAUAGGUGCAGUAGCAUAAAAGUAGGGUGGGCUUCUUGAUCAGCACAGUUUGAAGCUUGUUUUGCCAUUAUUUCUGUCUUUCCUCAUUUAUUACCUAAGAAUUCACCUUGCAGAAAGAUGUGGCAAGUAAUGCUGAUGGGCUUCAAACUCUCAUCAGUGCUUCUAUGCUGAACUAGAAGAGGUAUUACAUACAAGUAGAAAUAAAGCACACUCUAAUCAACAGAAACACACUUUUUAGUGUGAUACUCCAUUUAAAAAAGUUAAUUUUCAAGCAGUUAAAAUGCCUCAAUGAUUGGUAAAACUGGCAGUGAGGUAAUGUGACUUGAUGCUAAAGCAGUGAAAUACUCAGGGCUGUUUGUUAAGCUAAUACACAAAGCUUAUAUAAAACAAAGAACUAGCAUCUCUCAAAAAUAGUGGAGAAUACCUGAGCUAGCAGUACAUGAAGUAACUUAAAAAAGGCCUCAGUGCUGUUACCAACUGAAGAUCAGCAUAAUCCUAAGGCUACAAAAGGCCGCACCUAGGCAAAUACCUCAUCUUUUUGUCUUCUGAGCCUGCAAAUAUUUACAUAUUUUAUGUUAAGUUUUUAGGGGUUUGGUGACUAAAAAUUAAUAGUCAGAGACUACUCACCUGACUGAGGUUAAGCCCCUGACUGUAAUGUUUGAAUCAUCAGGAUUUUUUUUUUCUUACUGAAAUUGGUAGAGUCAAGUUUUUUGGUGCUUGAAUUGGGAAUCCCAAACCUAUUCCCCACUAAAUUUUAUUACAAGAAUAUUUAAUUCAACUUUUCAGCGCUUGUCAGUGGAUGUGUGCAGAAGUAAAAGUGUCACAGCAAUUUAAAAUGAAGGGAUAAUCCAAGAGAAAAUGCCUAAACAAUUAUAAAAUAGGGAAGCAAACCAAAGACCUCAGAUAAGUGGAGGAAUUAAAGUCUGUUUUUACUAUUCCUGUGAACAAACCUGUAUGUCCUUCAGAAGUGAAAUAACAGUUCAGAAAUAGAUGAUUUUUAUUAGUUUAUGCCCACAAAAAUUAUGUUUACUUCAGCUGUGCUCAUGACCGGUCUGUGCUUGCUUUCAGUCAGCUGUCCAGUUAUACUAUGACUAAUGCAUAUACAAAGCAAAGUUUAAGUUUGCUCAAGCACAGUCCAAUAGAAAAUUUUGGAUUUGCACAAACAAAUAUUUGCUUCCAUGGAAUAUGUUUUAGGUGGGAAGACACAGUGUUGACACAGUAGAAAGGGAGAUGGAAAUGAAGAUACACAAGUCUCAAUUAAAUGAGUUCAAGAACUCCUCUGUACCCUUCACGACUAGGAAUGAUUAUUUGCCUCCAGUUACUAUAUUAUAACAGCAAAAAUUAUAUGACUGUGCUAAAUACCAACUGGCAUCACAUUCUGCUUUUGUAAAGAAUUCUGUAUUGAACAAACCUGGUGUUUGAGGGAAAAAAUAAUAAUCCAAAAAUCUACUUAUUUACUCCUAAUCCUAAGAUUUCUGCCUCAUUGAAAUGGAUACACUCACCUCUGAUCAUUCAAGAAGAUCACAGAGAAUCAUAGAACAGCUUGGGUUGGGAGGGACCUCAAGGAUCACCAAGCUCCAACCCCCUGCUGCAGUUAGGGCUGCCAACCUCCAUGUUUAAUAGUAGACCAGGCUGCCCAGGGUCCCAUCCAACCUGGCCUUGAACAUCUCCAGGGACGGGGCAUCCACAACCUCUCUGGGCAGCCCGUUCCAGCACCUCAUCACUUUCUGUAAAGAACUUCCACUGACAUCCAACCUAAAUCUUCCCUCCUUCAACUUAAAACCAUUUCCCCUUGUCCUGCUAUUAUCCACCCUUAUUACCUUACUACCUUACCAGAAACUGCAGAACUUUUACACAUCACAGAAUUUCUAGUGUAAUCAAUGGAAGUGAGCACAUUCUUAAACUGAUCAUUUUUUUUUCUGAAAUGCUUUCCUCUAUCAGAGUUAGGAUCUGCUAAAAGAAAACAAUUGCCAAAGUCUGUCACAGAGACCUAAAAGGGCCCCACUUUCCAAUACUAUUAAGCAGUCUUGUGGGGGAAAAAAAAAAAAUCUUUCUGAUUAACUCAUGAAAACUAAAGCUAAUCUAAAAACAAAACAAAACAAAACCAAAAACCCAACAAACCAAACCUGUUGGACUUUCCAUUUUGCUCACGGAUUUUACAGAGGCAAAAAAAGGGGAGGGCCUAUUUAGCAACAGGACAAUUUUUUCAAUUAUUUGGUCACUGUUCUAUUUGAUCUUCAGCUUAAUUACAUAUACCACUUGGCUGACUAAUCAAAGAUCAAACAGUUAACAAUCUACAAAUGGUAUUUUACAAAAAUUGAACUAAAUAAAUGACCUCAGACUACAAUGGAGCUGCACCUAUUACAGUUAUAGGUUGAAGUACCUGAGAGAGACUUUCCAGAACUUGGCUCUGCUGUAAGACGCAACCUCAUCAGCUGACUACAAAUACUGGUGAAAAUGGAGAAGUGAGGGAAAAGAAGACAAUAACAGCGAUGAAACCACGACGUUGGUUUGGUUGGUAAUGCAUCAGACAUGGAAUGGAAGAGGAUUUGCUUUUAUCCAUUGUUUCUGUACUGUGUUGUGAUGCAUGCGGUCUGUAUAGUUUAAAGUGAUGAUAAAAGCUUCUAUAAAUGUUUCAUAAAAGCUGAAUUUGAAUGCAAUCCUUAAUUAAAGUAGAGAGGGACUACCUACUUGGCUCCAUUCCCCAAGUGCAGGUAUAAUGAAUGUUUUAAAAUGACUUCUCCAGAUGAUCUGCAAAGAUACCAUUUUGAGGAUAUUGGCAUUGGAACAAACAUAAGGGAAAUCAAUUAAAAAAAAAAAAAAAGAAGAAAACCAAAUGCUAAAAUUGUCUAUUUCUGUGAUCAUCUAAUAGAAACUUGUGAGAAAACUCCCCAUUGCAAAAGGUUUGACAUUAUUUCAUAAGAAUUAACAUAAGGACUGAAAAACAUCUCAGUAGGUGUUUUGGAUCCAGCCAAUAAACCCAGUAACCCAAUCAACCAACUAAUGAGGCAG
rnacentral:lncRNA from 1 species